CACAGACAGAAAAUGCAUUGCAAAUGAAAGAACGACAGUUCAUUCUUUUGAAGAAACAACCUGGCCGAUACCAAGUUUCAAUUAAAUGUGCUUCAAGGCAUAAAAUAAUGACCUGUGUCUGGUCAUUAUUUUCCCUGAUUAAAAUGCAAAACUACAGAUUACUAAAUCAUUUAAUCCCGGAUAAAGAUGGCCCACAGUCAGUCCAUCAACUUUCUAUAGGAGGAAAUAGAUGUCAUACGGAUUUGAAAGCUAAUUAUAUGCAUGAUGAAACCGGAUUUAGGAAAUAUAUAACAUUUUUGAAUAUGCAGGUAAUUAUCACUGUUCAUGACAUACUAGUCAAUGAAUGUUAAAAUAAAAGUAAUGUUACAACUCACUAUUUUCUUCGAAAAUACCUGUAUAGAGUUAGGAAUAUGAAAGUUGUUUCCAUUCGUUCCGUUGAUUAAUAAAGUCUAACGUUUGAUUGUGUCUGCUGUUAUGGACUUCCCUUUUGAAUAUACCUUGGGGAUCGGUAUUUUUUUGUCAUACA